rnacentral:rRNA from 1 species
UACGUAGGGUCCGAGCGUUUGUCCGGAAUUAUUGGGCGUAAAGAGCUCGUAGGCGGUUUGUCGCGUCUGCUGUGAAAUCCCGAGGCUCAACCUCGGGCCUGCAGUGGGUACGGGCAGACUGGAGUGCGGUAGGGGAGAAUGGAAUUCCUGGUGUAGCGGUGAAAUGCGUAGAGAUCUGGAGGAACACCGAUGGCGAAGGCAGCCUUCUGGGCCAACACUGACGCUCAUGCACGAAAGCGUGGGGAGCAAACAGG